rfam:Brassica napus, WGS project CCCW01000000 data, contig: 7499
CUUAACUAAAACACCGUGUACGAUCACACCGGCAAAUCCCAUCAGAAUUUCGCAGUUAAACAUGCUUGGGUGAAAACAGUACUAGGAUGUGUGACUUCCCAGAAAAUCCCCGUGUUACGG